rnacentral:rRNA from 1 species
UACGGGGGGGGCAAGCGUUGUUCGGAAUUACUGGGCGUAAAGGGCUCGUAGGUGGCCAACUAAGUCAGACGUGAAAUCCCUCGGCUUAACCGGGGAACCGCGUCUGAUACUGGAUGGCUUGAGAUUGGGAGAGGGAUGCGGAAUUCCAGGUGUAGCGGUGAAAUGCGUAGAUAUCUGGAGGAACACCGGUGGCGAAGGCGGCAUCCUGGACCAACACUGACACUGAGGAGCGAAAGCCAGGGGAGCAAACGGG